rnacentral:rRNA from 1 species
AGCAGCCGUGGUAAUUCCAGCUCCAAUAGCGUAUAUUAAAGUUGUUGCAGUUAAAAAGCUCGUAGUUGAAUUUCGGGGUUCUACCGUUGGUCGGGCAAUAGUCUGUACUGGCGUGUGGAAUUUCUACCUUCUGGGGAACCAUCAUGUUAUUAAUUUAGCGUGGUGGGAAACCAGGACCUUUACCUUGAAAAAAUUGAGUGUUCAAAGCAGGCUUACGUCUGAAUACAUUAGCAUGGAAUAAUAAAAUAGGACGUGGUCCUGUUUUGUAGGUUCUGAAUCACCGUAAUGAUUAAUAGGGAUAGUU